CUGAGAGGUUUUCUUCCAAUUUUAGGAUAGGAAAAUAGCAAUUUAUCGGGGGCAUGAGUGACUAUAUUACUACAACAAAACUGACAGGCCCGAGAGGCAACAGAACCCUAUUGUACCAGAAAUAGAAGUUAACUACAUAAGUUUCUUUAAUUGUUUUUUUGUUGCACUUGCAUUCUGUACAAGUUCAUAUAUAUUUAAAAUUUCUCUCAUUCAAUUUUAAAUCAAAAACUUGUCUCUUUAAAUUAGAAAUACUCUAUGUGCAGGUAUGGACAAUGUCUACAAUAGUGAAUUUGGCCUUGAUGCAAACGCUAGCAUUAUGAUAUACGUGCAGAGUUUUAUUAUUACUAUUAUCAUUAUUAUUAUUAUUUUAUCAUAACAAAUGUACAAUUUUUUUUACAAUUUACCCCUAACCAUAUGUGAAGUAUUAGCAGCCACAAUAUUAAUCAGCUAUCUUAAUCUGAAUAAUUUCCAUUCAGAGUAUAUUUUAAUACAUUGAAUAUACAUUGAAUGUUAUAAUAACUUAACAACUAAUCAACAGAUUAGUUGUUGAGAAGAACUCUUGAGGUCCAGAAA